UACAGAGGGUGCAAGCGUUUAAUCGGAAUUACUGGGCGUAAAGCGUGCGUAGUCGGUUAUCUAAGUCGGGUGUGAAAUCCCCGGGCUCAACCUGGGAAUUGCAUUCGAUACUGGAUAGCUAGAGUUCGGCAGAGGGAAGCGGAAUUUCCGGUGUAGCGGUGAAAUGCGUAGAUAUCGGAAGGAACAUCAGUGGCGAAAGCGGCUUCCUGGACCAGAACUGACGAUCAGGCACGAAAGCGUGGGGGAGCCGAACAGG
rnacentral:rRNA from 1 species